GGUGUGGACUUGUUGGAGGAAGUGUGUCACUGGGGGUGGGCUUUGAGGUUUCAGAAGCUCAAGCCACGCCUAGUGUCACUCUCUUCCUGCUGCCUCUCAGCUCC
rnacentral:miRNA from 1 species